GCCGGGCAUGGCGGUGCGUGCCUGUAGUCCCAGCUACUCGGGAGGCUGAGGCUAGAGGAUCGCUUGAGCCCAGGAGUUCUGGGCUGUAGUGCGCUAUGCCGCUCAGGUGUCCACACUAAGUUCGGCAUCAAUAUGGUGACCUCCUGGGAGCAGGGGACCACCAGGGUGCCUAAGGAGGGGUGAACUGGCCCUCGUCAGAAAUGGAGCAGGUGAAAACUCCCGUGCAGAUCAGUGGUGGAAUCACGCCUGUGAAUAGCCACUGCACUCCAGCCUGGGCAACAUAGUGAGACCCCAUCUCU
rnacentral:SRP_RNA from 1 species